rnacentral:rRNA from 1 species
UACGAAGGGUGCAAGCGUUACUCGGAAUUACUGGGCGUAAAGCGUGCGUAGGUGGUUCGUUAAGUCUGAUGUGAAAGCCCUGGGCUCAACCUGGGAAUGGCAUUGGAAACUGGCGAUCUAGAGUGCGGUAGAGGGUAGUGGAAUUCCCGGUGUAGCAGUGAAAUGCGUAGAGAUCGGGAGGAACAUCUGUGGCGAAGGCGACUGCCUGGACCAGCACUGACGCUGAGGCACGAAAGCUAGGGGAGCAAACAGG